AUGGGGCGCACGCGGGGCCCAGGGCCACCAAGCCGAAGGGGAGAUAAAAAGAAAGAAAAAGGGUGCGCGCGCAGCCACUUCUGUGUGUGUGUGUGUGUGUGUGUGUGUGCGCGCCCGCCCCCAUCCUCAUUCGCCCUCAAGCGAAAGGGAGGCCUUUCUCCCGCCUUUCCCCCCAUUCUUCGUCUAUUCUAUCGUGUCCGGGGGGCUCACCUUGACGGCACCGAGCUCCACAGGAGCACUCUUCGGUGGGGCUUCUCCGAAAUCCUUAGGCGCAGAAGGAGUAGAAGGAAACAGCAGCUUGAAACAUACAACGUCACGUUGGCACGAAGGAAAGGAGGAAGGGGCGCGCCACCACGCUCGUCAGUGAGGAAAGGGAGGGGGGCGGCAUUACCAAGCAAGCAGGCAGGCAGGCGCGCGCCGAAGACUCCCUCUCUCGCGCGCCAUUGUCGCGCGGCGCCGAACGCUGUUUUCUCCCGGGCGGGGGGAAAAAAAGGCUCUGUCGGGAGGGGGAGAAGAGAGAAAGGGGGAUUUAUAGAUUUUAUAGGGAAGGCCGGGGCUUGAGCCGAAAGGAGGGGAGCCAAGAAGAGGAGAAAGGCGGGAAGCGCGACUAGGCCCUUUAGAAACCGCAAAUCCGCGAGGCGGGAGAAGGGACCCCGUAUCCGCGCCCUCAGCCGCUCUUUGCGCGUCCCGUCCCCUUUGUCCGCCCGCGCCUUUGUCCUUUUCCCCUCCUACACGCCGCUUUUCUCUCCCCCCCCCCCCCCCCCGUUUCUUCCCCCUUGAUCCAGAUUAACUCCUUGGAGAGCACUUGGCCAGCGUGUUUUACGCUCUCCUCUUCCUUCGUGGGACGGAAAGCAAGCGUGGGGCGGGGUUCGCGUGUGUCCCACCUGGCAGUCGAAGCACAAAGCUGUAUGUUUGUGGUGUGUAGUGUUAGUCGCCGCUUUGAGUCUCCUUUCCGAGAGAGAGCGAUACGGAUAUAGAUACACAACAUGAUGAGGAGGAGGAUAGCGCAAAGGUUGAGGGAAAUGCUCCCAGAAGGAACCCGGGACACAAUAGGUGCUGGAAAUAACAUGGAAACAGGGCACCGUGAGGACAGCCUGGGCCAUCGUCCUUUGGUGCUGCCUUGCUUUCGAAAUAUGGCCCCAUAUUUCGAAUUGGUGGGAGAAAGAACUCUUGUCUGUUGGAGGACAACUGAUCAUCUUGAUUAGCAUUGAAUAGCCUCGCAGCUUCAACGCUUCUCUGCUUCCUGCCUGGGAGAAUCCUUUGUUAGGAAGUGAAUUAGCUGGCCCUGAUUAUUUCUGGCUACCAGUAUUUAAAAGAACUCUAAAAUCAGGACAGUAAAGAAAGAACAACACUCUGAAAAUAGAGGAAUUCUAGACAUGAAUCAAUCAGGGCCAGCAAACACCUCCGAACAAAGGAUUCCUCCAGGCAGGAAUCAGCCAGGCCUUGAAACUGAAAGGCUUUUCAGUGCUAAUCAAGGUGAUUAAUUGCAAUAUUCACACUUGACUCCAAAAUACAACAGUCCAUUCUCCCACCCUGGACCUUCCACAUAUACAUAUAAACCUUGCUUGCCUAGUUUCCAAAAGACCUCACAACCUGAGGGUGUCUUCCAUAGAUAUAUGUGAAAUGUCAGGAGAGAAUGCUUCUGGAACAUGGCCAUACAGCCCGGAAAACUCACAGCAACCCAGUGAUUCUGGCCAUGAAAGCCUUCAACAACACAUUGAACAAAACAUCUUCCGGGUCUUCGCUGAUCCCCGGGGUUAUGGAACAGGUAGUUUAAAUUAUAUUGAAAUGCUUUUAAUGCAAUUCACUUUGAAUCUCCUUGUGGAGGGAAAAAGCUGGGUAUAAAUAAACAUAAUAAUAAUGUGUCCUUCAUACAAAUGCACCCAAAGAGGCACAGGACAGGCAUCACCACAGCUUGUCAGGUGAGGUUUCACAGAACAGAAUAUUACAGUAGGCUCUGAUACCACCUACCAUAAUAGGAGACACUAUUAUUAUUACAGUAGAGUCUCACUAAUCCAAGCUAAACGGGCCGGCAGAAGCUUGGAUAAGCGAAUAUCUUGGAUUAUAAGGACUGAUCAAGGAAAAGCCUAUUAAACAUCAAAUUAGGUUAUGAUUUUACAAAUUAAGCACCAAAACUUCAUUUUAUACAACAAAUUUGACAGAAAAAGUAGUUCAAUACGCAGUAAUGUUAUGUUGUAAUUACUGUAUUUAUGAAUUUAGCACCAAAAUAUCACGAUAUAUUGGAAACAUUGACUACAAAAAUGGCUUGGAUUAUCCAGAGGCUUGGAUAAGCGAGGCUUGGAUUAGUGAGACUCUACUGUAUUAUUAUUAUUAUUAUGUUUAUUUUUAUCCUGCCUUUUCUCUCCAUAUGGACACACAAAGCGAUUCACAACCUAAAAGGUUGUGAGUUGCUUUGACUCACAGACAAAGAGUUCUUUCUCCCAAUCUGGUCUUUCCACAGAUAUAUAAACCCCACUUGCAUAGUUUUUCAACAGACCUCACAACCUCUGAGGAUGCCUGUCAUAGAUGUGGGUACAACGUUAGGGGAGAAUCCUUCUGGAACAUGGCCACACAGUCUGGAAAACUCACUAAAAGGUUAUGCCUAUAUUUCCCAGAUACUUCCUUCCUCAUAGGAAAAAUAAAUAAGCCAUUAAGAAAGAGGAGGGAGAUUGACUAUCUGCAUAAUACUCUUUGCUUGGCAGCACAAGACACUCUUCAACUGAAAAAGCAUUUGUGGUCAAACCAAGAACAUUAUUUCCACACAGCCAGAAAACAAUCACAAUUUCAAACAGUCGAAUUUGGAGUAAAAAGUUAAUUCAUAUGUGGACAUCAAUUCCUUUCAAGAUGGACAAGGUAUACAGGAGAGUCCCCAAAAUAUUUAUUCUGCUACCUGCAUCUUCAUAGAGGGACUGUCAGGUUCCUUUCAGCAUUGGCCAUGUUUCUACUGGAGAAACACACAAUAGAUCACACAAGAGCUUUGCUGGUUCCAAAACAUUUGUUGUUCAGACUAAAAUGUUACUCUAAGACCCACAUACAGGCAGUCCCUAAGUUUCACACAAUAUAGGUUCUGUAGGUUUGUUCUUAAACUGACUUUGUAAGUACGAGGAACAGAUAUAUUCUGAAGUGUAACUCCAGGAUAUAUUCCCUAUGGAUAGCAUAGGGAAGGGUUAGCUCCCCUGUGAUGUUUGUCUUGCUAUCUGUGCCCCUGUUCAGAAGAUUUCCCUUCACUUUCUGUCCUUGUGAUAAUAGGAUGUUGAAAAAAAUUGGCUUGUUGUGGAAACAAGGAUUGGUGAUAAAGUUUCAAUGGAGACACUUCUCCCCCAUAAUAAUAAUAAUUCUUCCAUAACUGAAUGACUCCUCUGAGUGGGAGAUUUCUUCCGCUUCCUGUUGUCUCACCCCUGUUUGUAACUAUAAGUCAAUUGUAAGUGGGAUGUUUUAAAUUUUGGACUGCUAGUAUAUAGGACUCGUACACUAAUUGUACCCAGGG
ensembl:lncRNA